UGUAAGUACGGGUCAGAGGCGGUGGGAAUGGGUAGGGGGCUGGUGUUGUACGGAAGCAUUGGGCGUAAAGGGGGGGUAGGCGGGCUGGUAAGUCCGCUGUGAAAGUCGGGGGCUCAACCCUCGAAUGCCGGUGGAUACUGUCGGGCUAGAGUGCGGAAGAGGCGAGUGGAAUUCCUGGUGUAGCGGUGAAAUGCGCAGAUAUCAGGAGGAACACCAAUUGCGAAGGCAGCUCGCUGGGACGUAACUGACGCUGAGACGCGAAAGCGUGGGGAGCAAACAGGAUUAGAUACCCCGGUAGUC
rnacentral:rRNA from 1 species